CGUGAGCCAGGUCGGUUUCUAUCCUAAGAUAUAGAAUAUUCAUAUUAGUACGAAAGGACCAUAUGAUUAAAAUAGUUUUUAUUUAUUGGUUAAAAUUAAUUAUUU
rnacentral:rRNA from 1 species